rnacentral:rRNA from 1 species
GGAGCAAACAGGAUUAGAUACCCUGGUAGUCCACGCCCUAAACGAUGGGUACUAAGUGUGGAGGGGUUAAACCCUCCGUGCCGCAGCAAACGCAGUAAGUACCCCGCCUGGGGAGUACGGCCGCAAGGUUGAAACUCAAAGGAAUUGACGGGGGCCCGCACAAGCGGUGGUGCAUGUGGUUUAAUUCGACGCGACGCGAGGAACCUUACCUAGGCUUGACAUGUGGUGAGUAGCGAACCGAAAGGGGAGCGACCCGUCAAAUCGGGCCAUCACACAGGUGCUGCAUGGCUGUUGUCAGCUCGUGCCGUGAGGUGUUGGGUUCAGUCCCGCAACGAGCGCAACCCUCGCCCUUUGUUGCCAUCGGGUAAAGCCGGGCACUCUAAGGGGACUGCCAGCGACAAGUUGGAGGAAGGAGAGGAUGACGUCAAGUCAUCAUGGCCUUUAUGCCUAGGGCCACACACGUGCAACAAUGGCCGGUACAGACGGAGGCAAUGCCGAGAGGCGGAGCAAACCCGAGAAAACCGGUCCCAGUUCGGAUUGAGGUCUGCAACUCGACCUCAUGAAGUCGGAAUCGCUAGUAAUCGCAUAUCAGAACGAUGCGGUGAAUACGUUCCCGGGCCUUGUACACACCGCCCGUCACACCACGAAAGUUUGUUGUACCCGAAGUCGGUGCCUUAACCUCGCAAGAGGAGAGAGCCGCCCAAGGUGUGGCCGAUGAUUGGGGUGAAGUCGUAACAAGGUAACCGUA